AUGUUCGGAUCUCCUCCUGCGACGGUGGCGAAGGAUCUAAACCUUCCGUACCCACCUGCGGCGGCGUCUUUCAACCACCGGAAAGACGAAUCCGAUCUCCUCCACCGCCACCAUCAGCAGCAGCAGCAGCAAAUGAGCUCUGGCUUGCUCCGGUAUCGAUCGGCCCCGAGCUCGCUGUUCGGGGAGGUGUGCGAGGACUUCCUCCCGGCGAGGCCCUCCAGCCCCGAGACGGAAACCAUGUUCGCCCGGUUCCUGGCGCCGGAUACCCGGGACGAGAUCCGGGACAAACCGGUCUCCGCCGCUGCCACGGGCGGCCAGAGGAGCCCCCGGUUCGCUCCGCCACCGCCGCCUGCGGCCGCUUCCGUGGCGAUGGAGCACGGCGGGGCGGAGCAGCUACCGGGCCAGCAGAGCGCCGGAUUCUCCGCUGCUUCCCAGAUGCUGUACCACUCGCAACAACAAUUGCCGAGCCACAGCUCGGUCGACAGCUCGUACCGGGUGGUGAGCUCGAUGGCUAUGGAGGCGGAGCACAUGAAGACGGCCGCCGGCGCCGCUGUUGGCGGCGGUGGCGGGAACUGCUCCAAUCUCAUCCGGCACAGUAGCUCCCCGGCGGGCCUUUUCUCUCACUUGAAUGUAGAAAAUGGCUUUGCGAUGAUGAGAGGCAUGACGUGUUUCCGGAAUGGGAACGACUCCAUGGGGGAUGGAACAAAUCGAUUGAAGUGUCAGAUAAGCUUUUCUUCGAGGCAAGACUCGUCCACGGGGCUCAUGUCUCAAAUCUCCGAGAUAGGUAGCGAGGGCAUGGGAGGAAGUAGCCCAGAAAAGAGCAACUUGGUAGCCGGCAAUGGCGGCGGCCGGUGUUACAUCCCGGGCUUUCCAGUUGCCACCUGGGAUGACUCCCCUCUGCUCUCUGAUAACUACUCGGGGCUUAAAAGAGCCAGAGAAGCCGAGGGGAAGAUAGUUGCUGGUCUCAACCCAUCAGAUCCUCAGAAUGGAGAGAUGAGGAACCAUAUGUCGGGUCUCAACCAUCAGUUUAGCUUGCCAAGGACCUCAUCCGAGAUGGCUACGAUCGAAAAAUUUCUGCACUUCCAGGAUGCAGUACCUUGCAGAAUCCGGGCAAAACGGGGUUGCGCCACUCACCCACGUAGCAUUGCUGAGAGGGUGAGGAGGACUAGAAUUAGCGAAAGAAUGAGGAAACUACAAGAGCUAGUUCCUAACAUGGAUAAGCAAACGAACACUGCUGACAUGUUAGAUUUUGCUGUCGUCUACAUCAAAGACCUCCAGAAACAAGUCAAGACGCUAUCGGAGAGCCGCGCCAGCUGCACCUGUCAUGCUAGCAAGCAGAAGCCGAACGUAAAUCCAUCUAUGUGAACUUGAUGUAUAGAAGGAAAAGAUAGUGGGGAGCUUGCAACCAGAGAUGCCUCGGUAAGGAUGAGCUUUUUACCGGUAGAGGCCCCAGUGAAGCAGGCGAAGAAAGAGGGCAAUGUAUAGCUAUCAGUAUUAGGAAGUCAUAUACCUACCACGUUGGUCGUGGAGGCAGAGUUUAAACGGUGAAAGAGAAGGACAUCCUUGUCAUCUUGCCAAAAAUAGCCUAGUAUAUACUAUUGUCUAAACUCAUACACCACCUUUCCCUGUUUUAAAACGUCCUCAGAGACUAGCAUUUGGCUUAUUGUUAUAGGAAAUUUGUUGAUAAGUGAAACCUAUAAAUUACUGUGCGUGACUCAUGCUGCUACAAUGAUUUCCAUUCAGCACUCCUAGCAAAGUAUCAGAAGCAAAUUAGAAAAUUUUGUAUACUUUUCUUUGGGGUGAGGUUUCUUUUGUUUCUCCCAUCUGUCUCCCAGGCUUUAACUAGGUGGGGAAAAGAAAAGGAGAGGAUGGGAUGGGAGAUUGGGGGAUAGGGGUAGCUGUAUCCAACUCACGGAUCACGAUACAUUCGAACCUUGAGAAAAGGAGGAAAAGGGGAAAGGAAAAGGCUGGCCUCCUCUUCUUCAUCCCCUCGUUGGUGGAAGUGACGGCCACGUUGCGGCGAACACCCGGUGUUGUCAGUAUCGAUGCCUACGUGUAUCGAGGCCGUUGGAUGAGGCGGAUCUGGUGGUCCUGCCAUUGUUUCUUUGAUCAGAUGGCUGGAGACCGGAGUCCGUGAUGCUAAAAGAUAAGACUCCAUUCUUUUUUUUUAUUUUUUUUGCCCCCCCAUAAAGGUGUUUGGGUAGAGGAGGGGCCUCAUUCCCG